rnacentral:lncRNA from 1 species
AAGGGAGCCAAGGAAACAGCAAAACCACAGCCUUGUUUGGAAAGUCUCCUGCUUUCAGCCUGGAGAAACGUGAGCAUGCCUUUGGUGACUCAUCCCCGGGAAGUGACUGCAGGAAACUAGAAAGUCGGUAGGAAUCCUGCCUAAAAGGGUUUUCUGCUCCAAGAGUCUAAAGCUACCCAUGCCCUAGCUUUCUAAGGGCGUUUGAUUGCUUUUAAGAGCAAUGCUUCUUCAAAUGUGGUUCUGAGACCAUCAUCCUCAAAAUCACCAAAGGAGACACGAGUGCUUCAUCCAAGACUAAAUGCUUCAGAAUUUUGGAGCUGAGGUGAAACAAUCUGUGUUUAAUAAGUGCUCCUGAAGACUUUGGUGCUCAUUCAAGUUCAAGACAUGCACACUUAGUGGCUGCUGUUUGUGUCUUCCUGCUCCCCAUGUUGCUGUUGAGAACCCAUAUGUGAUACUGGCCUCCCAGCGUACUCCUGAGCAGCCAAAGCUGCCUUAGCUAAUCUGUUUCAAGGUCUUCUUUCCCAUGUAUGCAUAUGGUGGCUCAGGGCCAGAGACCGAUGGUGGCAGCUUACCAAAGCCUCUUUGCCUGAAGAUUGAUCAGAUUUAUCCUACAAACAGCCUGGGAACCACCAACUUCAGCUCUGUUUCUAGAAAACCUCAUCCAGGAUAAUUAGCAAGUUCUCUUCAGAGAUAUACCGCUCAUGGGUUUGAAUAUGGGACUGACCAUAUAGCAAGAGCUCUCAGUGAGAUGCUCCACCUGGAUUUGGCUAGCCCUUUUCCUACAUUGAUGGAUGCCUUAAAUCUACAGUUCUCACAUUCCACCAAUGAUUUGGAAGCUUCUUGUGACAACAUGGCAUUUAAUUCCAUGAACAUUGACUUUAGGUGAGAGCAAUUUCAGGCAAUAGAAAUGGGGAGACACCUGCUGUCCUAGCUAAAGCCACUCCAAUUGCUAGUGUAAUCUGCAGUUUGAUUCUGUUGAGGUUAGAGAAAACUGGGAGAUUUAGUGUGUUGAGCAGAGAUAUCUUUUUGCAUUUGAUUAGGUCAUUCAGUCUCUGGAGGCACAUAUGGAAUAUUCACAGACCUGGCUCUAAGAGUUAGCUCUUCUGUAGGAAAGGGCCACAAGAUGUCCAAGUCUAAACUCCAAAGGUACUGACUAAGCUCCUUCCCCAGCCCUGAAAUCAUGAGGGAGGGAUCCCU